CCCUUAGAUGUUCUGGGCUGCACGCGCGCUACACUGACACACUCAGCGAGUCUCCUGGCCCGAGAGGGUUGGGUAAUCAUGUGAGCGUGUGUCGUGAUGGGGAUAGAAUAUUGUAAUUAUUACUCUUCAACGAGGAAUUCCUAGUAAGCGCGAGUCAGCAGCUCGCGCUGAUUACGUCCCUGCCCUUUGUACACACCGCCCGUCGCUCCUACCGAUUGAGUGUUCCGGUGAAUAAUUCGGACUGCAGCAGCGUGGGGACUCCUCAUGCUGCAGCGGAAAGUUUGGUGAACCUUAACACUUAGAGGAAGGAGAAGUCGUANCA
rnacentral:rRNA from 1 species